GUUCUCACUGUGUUGCCCAGGCUGGAGUGCAGUGGCACAAUCUUGGUUCCCUGCAACCUCUGUCUCCCAGACUGAGUUUUGUUCUUGUCACCCAGGCUGGAGUGCAAUGGUGCAAUGUCGACUCACUGCAACUUUCACCUCCCAGUUCUGGAGGCCAGAAGUUUGAAAACAAUAUCACUGGACCAAAAUCAAGGUGUCGCUAGGGCUGUGCAUUCUUCCUCUGGAGGUUGUAUGGGAGAAUCUGUUCCUCGCCUCUUCCAGCUUCUCAUGGCUGCCACAUUCCUUGGCUGUGGCUGCAUCACUCAAAUCUUUAUGACCCAGGGGCCUUUUGAGCAGCUUCUUCUGCAAGAGGACAUCCGGAGACACAGGAAUAGAAAUGAUCCGAUCAAAGUAAUUAAAGGCUUUUAACUGAGCUCUGAGGUCCCAAACAGGGCACAUUCAGUCA
rnacentral:sRNA from 1 species